rnacentral:lncRNA from 12 species
AGAAGCUGUAUUGAGCAGCCAGCACGUCGACUGAGAGAAGCCUGCCAGCCUCCUCCUCGCUUGAACUCGUUUGUUUUCGUGGCCAGGCGCUUCAGUGUGACGCUUUCCAGGAACCAGCCGUCCCCAAUGCCUGUCCCGUCGUGGCCUAUCCGAAUCUUAUAAAUCUUGCCAACAUCUGCAGCCUCUC